GAUGAACGCUGGCGGCGUGCCUAAUACAUGCAAGUCGAGCGAACAGACGAGGAGCUUGCUCCUCUGACGUUAGCGGCGGACGGGUGAGUAACACGUGGAUAACCUACCUAUAAGACUGGGAUAACUUCGGGAAACCGGAGCUAAUACCGGAUAAUAUAUUGAACCGCAUGGUUCAAUAGCGAAAGACGGUUUUGCUGUCACUUAUAGAUGGAUCCGCGCCGCAUUAGCUAGUUGGUAAGGUAACGGCUUACCAAGGCAACGAUGCGUAGCCGACCUGAGAGGGUGAUCGGCCACACUGGAACUGAGACACGGUCCAGACUCCUACGGGAGGCAGCAGUAGGGAAUCUUCCGCAAUGGGCGAAAGCCUGACGGAGCAACGCCGCGUGAGUGAUGAAGGUCUUCGGAUCGUAAAACUCUGUUAUUAGGGAAGAACAAAUGUGUAAGUAACUAUGCACGUCUUGACGGUACCUAAUCGGAAAGCCACGGCUAACUACGUG
rnacentral:rRNA from 1 species